AAUCAACGCUGGCGGCGUGCCUCAGACAUGCAAGUCGAACGCGAAAGUCCCCUUCGGGGGUACAAGUAGAGUGGCGCACGGGUGAGUAACACGUAGGUAAUCUACCUUCGGAUGGGGAAUAACAACCGGAAACGGUUGCUAAUACCGCAUAAUGCAGCGGCACCUAAUGGUGACAGUUGUUAAAGCGGGGGAUCGAAAGACCUCGCGUCUGAAGAGGAGCCUGCGGCGGAUUAGCUAGNGGUAAGGUAAUGGCUUACCAAGGCGACGAUCCGUAGCCGGCCUGAGAGGGGCGGUCGGCCACACUGACACUGACAUACGGGUCAGACUCCUACGGGAGCAGC
rnacentral:rRNA from 1 species